ACAUGCUUACAACAUAGCGUUAAUGCACCAGAUACCAUUAGAACUCUGUAGUUAAGCACGCUCAGGUGAGGUGAAGGAGGUCCUUUAAGCAUGCA
rnacentral:rRNA from 1 species